AUUGAACGCUGGCGGCAUGCCUUACACAUGCAAGUCGAACGGCAGCAUAGGAGCUUGCUCCUGAUGGCGAGUGGCGAACGGGUGAGUAAUAUAUCGGAACGUGCCCUAGAGUGGGGGAUAACUAGUCGAAAGACUAGCUAAUACCGCAUACGAUCUACGGAUGAAAGUGGGGGAUCGCAAGACCUCAUGCUCCUGGAGCGGCCGAUAUCUGAUUAGCUAGUUGGUGGGGUAAAAGCCUACCAAGGCGACGAUCAGUAGCUGGUCUGAGAGGACGACCAGCCACACUGGGACUGAGACACGGCCCAGACUCCUACGGGAGGCAGCAGUGGGGAAUUUUGGACAAUGGGGGCAACCCUGAUCCAGCAAUGCCGCGUGAGUGAAGAAGGCCUUCGGGUUGUAAAGCUCUUUUGUCAGGGAAGAAACGGUUUUGGAUAAUACCCAGAGCUAAUGACGGUACCUGAAGAAUAAGCACCGGCUAACUACGUGCCAGCAGCCGCCGUAAAAC
rnacentral:rRNA from 1 species